UACACUCCUGCGGGAGGCAGCAGUGGGGAAUUUUGGACAAUGGGCGAAAGCCUGAUCCAGCAAUGCCGCGUGUGUGAAGAAGGCCUUCGGGUUGUAAAGCACUUUUGUCCGGAAAGAAAUCCUUGGCUCUAAUACAGUCGAGGGAUGACGGUACCGGAAGAAUAAGCACCGGCUAACUACGUGCCAGCAGCCGCGGUAAUACGUAGGGUGCGAGCGUUAAUCGGAAUUACUGGGCGUAAAGCGUGCGCAGGCGGUUUGCUAAGACCGAUGUGAAAUCCCCGGGCUCAACCUGGGAACUGCAUUGGUGACUGGCAGGCUAGAGUAUGGCAGAGGGGGGUAGAAUUCCACGUGUAGCAGUGAAAUGCGUAGAGAUGUGGAGGAAUACCGAUGGCGAAGGCAGCCCCCUGGGCCAAUACUGACGCUCAUGCACGAAAGCGUGGGGAGCAAACAGGAUUAGAAACCCCGGUAGUCCCAUGA
rnacentral:rRNA from 1 species